UAAUACCGCAUAAUGCCUACGGGCCAAAGAGGGGGACCUUCGGGCCUCUCGCGUCAAGAUAUGCCUAGGUGGGAUUAGCUAGUUGGUGAGGUAAUGGCUCACCAAGGCGACGAUCCCUAGCUGGUCUGAGAGGAUGAUCAGCCACACUGGAACUGAGACACGGUCCAGACUCCUACGGGAGGCAGCAGUGGGGAAUAUUGCACAAUGGGCGAAAGCCUGAUGCAGCCAUGCCGCGUGUAUGAAGAAGGCCUUCGGGUUGUAAAGUACUUUCAGUUGUGAGGAAGGGGGUGUCGUUAAUAGCGGCAUCUCUUGACGUUAGCAACAGAAGAAGCACCGGCUAACUCCGUGCCAGCAGCCGCGGUAAUACGGAGGGUGCGAGCGUUAAUCGGAAUUACUGGGCGUAAAGCGCAUGCAGGUGGUUCAUUAAGUCAGAUGUGAAAGCCCGGGGCUCAACCUCGGAACUGCAUUUGAAACUGGUGAACUAGAGUACUGUAGAGGGGGGUAGAAUUU
rnacentral:rRNA from 1 species